GGAGAGUUGCCGGAGUGGUUAACGGAACAGUUUGCUAAACUGUCGGCUUUCGAGUCGCGUGGGUUCGAAUCCCACACUCUCCG
rnacentral:tRNA from 1 species